UACACUCCUGCGGGAGGCAGCAGUGAGGAAUAUUGGACAAUGGGUGGAAGCCUGAUCCAGCCAUCCCGCGUGCAGGAAGACGGCCCUAUGGGUUGUAAACUGCUUUUAUCUGGGGAUAAACCUACUUACGUGUAAGUAGCUGAAGGUACCAGAAGAAUAAGCACCGGCUAACUCCGUGCCAGCAGCCGCGGUAAUACGGAGGGUGCAAGCGUUAUCCGGAUUUAUUGGGUUUAAAGGGUCCGUAGGCGGACUGAUAAGUCAGUGGUGAAAUCCGACAGCUUAACUGUCGAACUGCCAUUGAUACUGUUAGUCUUGAGUAAGGUUGAAGUGGCUGGAAUAAGUAGUGUAGCGGUGAAAUGCAUAGAUAUUACUUAGAACACCAAUUGCGAAGGCAGGUCACUAAGUCUUAACUGACGCUGAUGGACGAAAGCGUGGGGAGCGAACAGGAUUAGAAACCCUGGUAGUCCCA
rnacentral:rRNA from 1 species